rnacentral:rRNA from 1 species
AACGUAGGACGCAAGCGUUAUCCGGAAUUACUGGGCGUAAAGCGCGUGUAGGUGGUUUUAUAAGUCACUGUUGAAAGCUCCCGGCUAAACUGGGAGAGGUGCGGUGAGACUGUAGAGCUAGAGUUUGGGAGAGGGGUGCGGAAUUCCGGGUGUAGUGGUGAAAUGCGUAGAGAUCCGGAGGAACACCAGAGGCGAAGGCGGCACCCUGGCCUAAUACUGACACUGAGACGCGAAAGCAUGGGGAGCGAACGGG